AUUGAACGCUAGCGGCAUGCUUUACACAUGCAAGUCGAACGAGUGGCGGACGGGUGAGUAAUAUCUCGGAACGUGCCUAGUAGAGGGGGAUAACUACUCGAAAGAGUAGCUAAUACCGCAUACUAUUGGAGCGGCCGAUAUCGGAUUAGCUAGUGGGUGGGGUAAAGGCUCACCAAGGCGACGAUCCGUAGCUGGUCUGAGAGGAUGACCAGCCACACUGGAACUGAGACACGGCCCAGACUCCUACGGGAGGCAGCAGUGGGGAAUUUUGGACAAUGGGGGAAACCCUGAUCCAGCCAUGCCGCGUGUAUGAGAAGGCCUUCGGGUUGUAAAGUACUUUUGGCAGGGAAGCGUUACCCGCAGAAGAAGCACCGGCUAACUACGUGCCAGCAGCCGCGGUAAUAC
rnacentral:rRNA from 1 species